GUGCUUGCUUCGGCAGCACAUAUACUAAAAUCGGAAUGAUACAGAAAGGACUAGCAUAGACCCCGCACAAGAUGGUGUGCAAAUUCAUGCCACAUUUUUAAAUGUU
ensembl:snRNA U6 U6 spliceosomal RNA